GACGAACGCUGGCGGCGUGCUUAACACAUGCAAGUCGAACGGAAAGGCCCUGCUUUUGUGGGGUGCUCGAGUGGCGAACGGGUGAGUAACACGUGAGUAACCUGCCCUUGACUUUGGGAUAACUUCAGGAAACUGGGGCUAAUACCGGAUAGGAGCUCCUGCUGCAUGGUGGGGGUUGGAAAGUUUCGGCGGUUGGGGAUGGACUCGCGGCUUAUCAGCUUGUUGGUGGGGUAGUGGCUUACCAAGGCUUUGACGGGUAGCCGGCCUGAGAGGGUGACCGGCGACAAUGGGACUGAGAUACGGCGCAGACUCCUACGGGAGGCAGCAGUCGGGAAUAUUGCGCAGUGGGCGGGAGCCUGAUGCAGCAGCGCCGCGUGCGGGAUGACGGCCUUCGGGUGGUAAACCGCUUUCGCCUGUGACGAAGCGUGAGUGACGGUAAUGGGUAAAGAAGCACCGGCUAACUACGUG
rnacentral:rRNA from 1 species